ensembl:lncRNA
CCAGGACAACCAGGAUUGAGCUGGUUGAGAAAUCUGAUUUCCACCCUCCCACACCCCCUGCUCUUCUUUAGGGAUUGCCAAAGGAUUGUGCGUUAUUACAUGGUGGUAAUCUUCUUUGAAGAUGUUGGUGGCAGCUCAAGUCUCCGGACUCAAUUCCGCACUGAUUUACGCAGCCUGCAAUCCCAUGGCAAGGAGGGUGAUUGCACAGGAACAGACCCUGCCUGGCUCUGCGACACCACAUUUGAGGUGACUUACAGGACGGAGGAGAUUAUUACAGAAAUUCCUGUCUUCUUUCCCGAAAGGGUCCCUGCAGACUUCCCAUCAAUUUCAAGAGCAGCAAGCACUGGAGCCAAACAUGCCGUGUUCAAAUUCAUGUGACAGCUUUGUCAGCACGGAAUGCAUAGAUCUUCCGAAUCCAGUGGGGAAUUGUUGAUAUCACAGAAGAAAAUAUCUUCCAGUUCUCAGCUAAAAAUGAAGUACUUCUGCCACUUCAUUACUGCUGACCUUCUCAUGCUAAUGACUCUGAAUGGAGAACAUUAAAAGUUGGAGUGAAUUUAACAGAAGAGAAUGUGCUCCAAGGAACAGCAGAGAAUUGAGAACACUGUAUUUUUUAAAAUUAGUCCUAUAUGCUUCAUCAUGCUGUUGCUGUCUGACUUUAAUGAGAAUGCUUACAUGAAUAAGGCUGCUGGAUCGCACCCCCGGCAUUUAAUAGAGGUACUUCUGGCUUUUCUGUUGCAAAAAUAAGAACCAGAAUCAUGGAGGGGGGUGUCGGAUGGCCAGAUCUCCAGGCAAGUGGAGGUUGCAGCUGACCCUCUCUGCACGUUUGGGCCACCAGUUCUCAUCAGCCGGAGAUACAAAGAGGUUUGAAGGUAAAAUACGAUGACCUCAGCUUCACAACUGUGGCUUCAGAGUAAAGCUUUCAAGUUUUCAUCCCAUUGUCCAGGAAGACAUCCUUUACUAAAGGGAAUCGGCAGGGAAUUCAGGGAGUUUGAGUUCGUUUUUGUGUGUGUGUGAGGGGUGCAUUUCUUUGCUCUUUUCUUCGUCUUAGUUUCUUUUUGUUAUUUGUGUUCAGUAGCACAAUGCCACAACAACAGGGUGUGCAAAUAUUACAAAAGGCACAUCUUUUUCUAAGCGAGUAAUGCAUAAAUAUAU